GUUUGUGCGAGAGAGAAUUAGUACUGUGAAGGAAGUAAUUAAUGUAAAUUUUAAAAUAGUAGAAAUUAAAAUUUGUACCUUUUGUAUCAUGGUUUCUUUAGGUGUUUCUUUGAUUAAAGGGUGCCCGAAAAAGACUGAGCUAUCCUUUAGCGAGGCGUCAACGUGGUAGAGUUGUGCUGAGAUUAGAGGAUUGGGGUGAAAUGCUUAUCGAAGUCUUUGAUUGCUGGUUGGCCAGGAAAAAUAUUAAAGUAUAGGCUCAAUCAAGGGUUAUUACCUUAACCUAAAAAUUAUCUUGUUAUUUAUUAUUGUGACAGGAUGUGAGGUUGAAGCUUAAAUGAAAAAGGAUAAGCUUUUUUAUAGAGUUAAGAGAAUCAGUUAUGACAGUAUGGGGUAGGUAUGGUUGGCUUAGAGUUAGCUAUCUUUGGUUAAGUUUGUUAUAAAUUAGCCUACCUUGAAGUUUUAAGAUUAAUAUAGAUUUUCUAGGAUAAAGGUUUUAGUACUGGCUUACCUAGUUGAAUUAAUAAAACUAGGGCGUUUCUGGGAAAAUGAGUAUUUAAAGUAUUUAUAUGUUUGUUUACGUAGGAUUGGAUGUUAAUUAAACAAUAAAGUGUGAAGUAGAUAUUAUAUAUUAUAGUGGUUUAUAAAUGGAAUUUUAGUUAAGGAAUUCGGCAAAAAUUAGUUUCGCCUGUUUAUCAAAAACAUGGCUCUUUGUGUUUUAAAUUAUAGGGAGUCGGACCUGCCCGGUGACGUAAUGUUAAACGGCCGCGGUACCCUAACCGUGCUAAGGUAGCAUAAUCAUUUGCCUUUUAAUUGGAGGCUGGUAUGAAUGGUUUGACGAGAACUAAGCUGUCUCUUUUGAAAUAUUUAGAAUUUAAUCUUUAGGUGAAGAAGCCUAAAUUUGGCUGAGGGACAAGAAGACCCUGUUGAGCUUGAGUGGAGUAGAGUAUGGUUUUAUUGAGUUGAUCGGUUAUAUUUUUAUAACUUAAUUACUCUAGUAAUCUUUAGUUGGGGCGACUGAGGAACAUGGAAAGCUUCCUUUAAGUUAUAGUAAUGUAUGUUGGCAGAUUAGUGAGAUCCAGUAUGUACUGAUCAAAGGAAAAAGUUACCACAGGGAUAACAGCGUAAUCUUUCUGGAGAGAUCUUAUCGAAAGGAGGGUUUGCGACCUCGAUGUUGGACUAAGAUAUCCCAAGGGUGCAGAAGCUCUUGACGGUUGGUCUGUUCGACCAUUAAAAUCUUACAUGAUCUGAGUUCAGACCGGCGUGAGCCAGGUUGGUUUCUAUCUUCAGUUGUAGAAGUGAUUUUUGGCUAGUACGAAAGGACCGCUGUUAAAAUAAAAAUUUUUAUGUUUUAUGAAAAUAUUUAAGUGAUUGUAUUAAGUUUUAGUGG
rnacentral:rRNA from 1 species